CCUCCCCCAACUCAGAAGUAAUCUUCCAACAUCCCGAUUGUGAUGUCCAGGGACAAAGGUCCCCUUGGAUAAGAUGGCCUCCAUAUCGAACGUUGAGUCUCCAGUUUUUAUCCCCCCCCCCCACCAAAACUGUGGAAGCUGAAUUGGUGACUAAUAAUGCGUAUGUGGCCAUCUUUGUUGCCAAUCCAGUGCUUGAGGGAAAAACAACCGCUCCAUGCAGUGACCAUCAUGUGAGCCAAAAGGUUUCCAGAAAGGAAAGAAAAUAAGGAAUGUUCCAGAACUUCUAACUCUCAUGCACCCAGCCCAGGCUGCAGACCGUCAACAUCAAACAGGCCCUGGAAAACCUCCUUUUCCACACAUAACCCUGGCUAUGCAUUGAGAAGUUUUCCACUAUAUACAUUUUUAUUCAGAGGAGGGUAUUUUUAUAUUUUGACACUAGAAAACCACGACGAGUCUUCUGAGGAAUCCUUUCUGGGACAAACAAAGCCUGUCUCAGCCUCCACCACCCCAGUUGCAACACAUCCACCGGGAAACCACAUCUCUUUUCACCUUGAAACUCCACGUUGGGUCAACGGACGACACACCACAGAUGCGGCUCAGCAGAAUUCACCAUGGCUUUGGCUUUAGUGUGACAGGAUUUGGUGUGACCUUUGAACACAGAAACCUGGUUGUGUGGAAGCCCAUGGAUCUGCAAACAGAUUCGUCCAGUUCACAUCCUACAAUGGUUUAAAAAGAGAAAACGCACAUGCUCACGCGUGCGUGCGUGCACACACACAGCACACACAGACACACACAGACACACGCACACACAAACUGUUUCUAUGAGAGAUUGAUGAACUUUGUCUAAAAUUUUAAAAGAAAGGGACACAUUCUGUAAACAUGUCUCUAAAUACAGAAUUGUAUAACAAUC
rnacentral:lncRNA from 1 species